rnacentral:lncRNA from 1 species
CUUUUUUCUUCCAGUCAAUUUUUUCUUUGAUCUACAGAACUUGCUUCUUUUCUCUGAAGUUUUCACAAUACAGCAUGAUAGAAGGAGCACAGAGUGCCAGAGGCAGGGAAUUCCUAUGCUUCACUAGUGACUCAUAAGAAAACUUAAUAGAAGGUCUCUACUGCCUGCUGGCCCUGCAGUACCUGAUUGAUGUGGUCCCAAACUAAAGUAGGCUAACCUUCAUUGAACCAAGCACUUCAGAGCCAUGGGAAGAAGUAUGGGGGAAGGAGUCCUUGUACUCUGGCAAUGAGGAAAACAAACAUUAACAGUGCAAGACACAGUGAGAGUCACAGAUCCAUGGAUGGACGAUCCUUUUGAGGACAAUAGAGGGGGAAUUUGGAUAAGUUUCCUGAGUGAGAAACCUUCCAGAUGGCAAUCUGAAAGUUAGCUGUUCCUUCUCAAAACACAGAGCUUUCUCAAGAGAAAGAUAACACCCUCUUUCAUCAGAGCGAGCGAGCUUUCUUCAUGGUGGCAAUUUCCAGUCUCCAGUGCAAGGAGGGGAAACUGAAGGAGAAUAAGGCGGUUACAUUCAGUUAGAGCCUGAGAGCAGAAUUUGGUUAGGCUGAAGCAGCUGGAAACUGUGGAAUGUAAUACCAGAGAGGAGACUGCCACACAAAGAACUCUAAAAAUUUUGAUUUUCAGCAAACCUUCAGAAGGCAAAAGGGAAAGUUUUCCCAUGGGCCAACGUGGAUAUGUUUCUGUAAUAGUCUGCUCAGCCUUCUACAACAAGAUGUCGCAGACUGGGUGACUUAAACCAGGGAUCCUCAAACCCUGGCAAUGGAUCGGUACGGGUCAGUGGCCUGUUAGGAAUCAGGCCACGUAGCAGGAGUCCAUAUUUGGAAUAACAACAAUAUAACACUCCUUUGGUAGUUAUAUUUUCUCACCUUCUUUACAGAAGAAGAAAUCCUUACUUAGAAAGGGUAAGUAACUUGACCCUAAUGACCUAGCUGGAAGUGACAGGUCUCUGUGAGAUUCAAGAGUCUAUUUUCCUAACCAUUGUGUUACAGAGAUGAAGUAGACCUAAUUGUGACAUCCUUUUCCUCUUUUAUGCCCUUUUUAUUUAUCCUUAUGUUGCAUUUAUCCAAAUUAAUUCAAUGGGGCAGUCUAACAAAUCUAGUUUACAUUUCAUUAAUUAUGGGCAUGUUAAUAACAACUCUUAACCCCAAACAUUACCACAGUUCAGGGACAAAGGUUAUUAAGGAGGAUAUAAAUUCUCUAUAUGUACUGGAUGGCUCC